CCUACGGGUGGCUGCAGUGGGGGAUAUUGCACAAUGGGGGAAACCCUGAUGCAGCGACGUCGCGUGGGUGAAGAAGUAUUUCGGUAUGUACAGCCCUAUCAGCAGGGAAGAAAGAAGACGGUACCUGACUAAGAAGCGCCGGCUAACUACGUGCCAGCAGCCGCGGUAAUACGUAGGGGGCGAGCGUUAUCCGGAUUCACUGGGUGUAAAGGGAGCGUAGACGGCUGUGCAAGCCAGGAGUGAAAGGCCGGGGCCCAACCCCGGGACUGCUCUUGGAACUGUGCGGCUGGAGUGCGGGAGGGGCAGGCGGAAUUCCUGGUGUAGCGGUGAAAUGCGUAGAUAUCAGGAGGAACACCGGCGGCGAAGGCGGCCUGCUGGACCGCGACUGACGUUGAGGCUCGAAAGCGUGGGGAGCGAACAGGAUUAGAUACCCUGGUAGUC
rnacentral:rRNA from 1 species